rnacentral:tRNA from 1 species
GCGCCCGUAGCUCAGUUGGAUAGAGCGGGGGACUCCUAAGCCCUAGGCCACAGGUUCGACUCCUGUCGGGCGCACCA